rnacentral:rRNA from 1 species
CAGUCGCCGCGGUAAUGCGUAGGUGGCAAGCGUUGUCCGGAAUUAUUGGGCGUAAAGGGCUCGCAGGCGGUUUCUUAAGUCUGAUGUGAAAGCCCCCGGCUCAACCGGGGAGGGUCAUUGGAAACUGGGAAACUUGAGUGCAGAAGAGGAGAGUGGAAUUCCACGUGUAGCGGUGAAAUGCGUAGAGAUGUGGGGGAACACCAGUGGCGAAGGCGACUCUCUGGUCUGUAACUGACGCUGAGGAGCGAAAGCGUGGGGAGCGAACAGGAUUAGAUACCCCGGUAGUCCCUGUCUCUUAUAC